rnacentral:rRNA from 1 species
GUAACAUAGAGCUAAUACAUGCAAAUACUCUUGACCGUAAGGAAAAGAGGCACUUAUUAGAUUACAAACCAAUCCAUGUAAAAGUGGUAUUAGGUGAUUCAUAGUAAGGUUGGAAAUCGUAUGAGGGUAACCUUGACGAUAUAUCACUCAAAUUUCUGCCCUAUCAACUUUGGAUGGUAGUAUAGAGGACUACCAUGGUGAUAACGGGUAACGGAGAAUUAGGGUUCGAUUCCGGAGAGGGAGCCUGAGAAAUGGCUACCACUUCUAAGGAGGGUAGCAGGCGCGCAAAUUACCCCAAUCCUAAUACGGGGGAGGUUAGUGACAAUAAAUAACAAUGCUGGUAUUAAUAUACUAGUAAUUGGAAUGAGAACAAUUUAAACCCCUAUCGAGUAACCAUCAGAGGGCAAGUCUGGUGCCAGCA